GCGCUAGUAGUGCAGUCGACGAGCUGAGAGCACAGAGCCAACUUUGAAAAAUGAAAUGUAAAGUGAUUAAGGAUGCUAAAAAGAUACUUACCUGGUCGAUGAGCCACCAGAACCACAUCUUUGUGAGCAAGAAUUGACUUUUGGUCAGUUUUUUUCCGUUUUGUACCUUUUUCAUUGGAUUGAAACAUCUGUAAGAGUGUGGGAGACACCUCUACAGUGGAGACAAGAUGGCGAGCCAGAUCCAUGGACUACAGUUCUAGAACCUUCGUCGUGAUUACAAGUGAAUCCAUUUCCUAUUGGUGAACAUUGCUGCCAGUGCGGUAGGAACAUUGACACUUUUAUCUUCCUCAUCUCAAGCAAGCUUUGGAUUUCCUCAUCUGGAUUCCACUUCAGCAUUUGAUUGGAAGUCAAAUACACUUCUGAACUGAGUAGAAAAGACUGAAAAGUGUAUCACGCUGUGUAUCCUUCAAGGUCUUUGCAAUUUUGUGGUGAAAAGUGGAUCACGCUGUGUAUCCUUCAAGAUCUUUGCAAUUUUGUGGUGAAAGUGUGAUUUGUUUUGAAAUUGAUUUUGGGUUGACUCAUACUUGUAAUUGGUUCUUUCCUAAACAAAGAGUUAACAAAAAUAGAAAUAUCAUUACAGAUUACUUACCUGUUAACCUAACCUGGGAAAAGUACUCACAGAUCGGUCUGAUUGAUAAAAUAACUCAAGUUAAAAUUAGAGACAUUGGAAAAAUAUUCUUUUAUUUACUUUUCAAUUUCCUGGAUCACUUUAUGCUGUUUAUAUUGUAUGUUUUUUCUGAAUUUUCUUGUUAGUAAAUUGCAAAUUUCAACUUCUGGUCUUUGGUCUAUUUAUACAGUCUCAUUCCACUCCUUCUGAACCUGGAUCUGGUCCUGUAGUAUUGUUAGUAUAUCGGUGUAUACAAGUGCUACAUACAAAUUUUUGGCGAGCUAGCCAGGAGUGGAAACAAGGUGUGAAACUAGUAACCAGAGACCAGACUACAUUGUUUACGCUGACUCAAAAUGGAAGUCAUUCAGGCAUCAGGUGUUAAAAUUCCAAAUUCGGUCCUUGUUAGUGGUUUGACAAAUACAGUAGCAGAUGAAGAGCUUUAUAGCUUUUUAAACCAGUAUGGCUCUAUUCAGAGAAAAAUCCCAGUAGACUCAACCCAAAGUCAGACGUGCGGGCUAUCAUAGCAUAUACAUGUGGUACAGCCCUACAGUCACUUUCACCUUUACUGCCAUACAACCUUGUUAGUAAAACUCAAGCAGAUGUUACUUACCAUGUGAGGGCGCUAGCAAGUGUCUAUACACCUGCAGUUAGCCAGUCAGCUACACCUUAUACCUUAUAGAGCUAAAAGACAUUGCAAAGCAGAGUGGCAAAGACUUUGCUGAUGUUCUGAGGCAGGAACUCUCCAGCAUAAGUGAAACUGUUGACCAAGAUAACUCUGAGGACCUAGAGGAUACAGAAGCAAGUGAGGAUGUCAAUGGAAAUGUUUCCGAGAAUCAAGCACAGGUGAGCCCUCAGCCAAGUGCUCCUCCUCCACAUGCUCAUACAUCUACAUCAGAUUCUGGACAGUUGCAACAACCCCCCAAAGACAAAACAAAGUCCAAUUUAGGCCUCACUGCUAUUUGCCCACCUGAACUGCAAAAAGCCGUUGUAGAACACAUCGUUAAAUACGAAGAUUCAGCACAAGCACAGGCUACAAUGAGACUCCGACCCUUCUCUGGACGUGUACCCCGGCCAAACAAUGAAGUGGACUAUGAGACAUGGCGUUCCAAAGCUGACUUUCUGCUGAGAGAUGAGCGACAAUCAGACUUGCAUAAGUCACGAAAGAUUCAGAACUCCUUCUGAUACUUCGCACUGAAGAAGACAAACGCACCUCCAAAGAGUGUCGCAUGAAACAGCAUUUUGGCACCUCGAAGCAGAAAGUGUUCUCACAAGGUGCUUAUAUUCCAUCACCUGAAGAACACAGUACACAGCAAAGUACUGACCAAAGACAAGAGACUAAAUCUGAAAUACAAGACUUAAAGAAACAAAUAUCUGAUCUGCAGUCCCAACUAUCAAAGAUCAAACAGACCAGUAAGACCAAUUCAAAGAAAGCACCAGCCCGAAUUGCCAGAGAGUUCUAAAGUGCGAGCAGCACAAUCUAUCAACCUCAACAAGAACAAUCAAAACCACAAACCCAUACCGUGGUAUUGUUUCAGAUGUGGAGAAGAUGGUCACAUAAAGCUCCAGUGUGAUGCUGAACCCAAUCCCUCUCUUGUAGAUUCUAAAAGGAGACUGUUGCGAGAAAAACAAUCAGAAUGGGAAAAGAAAAAUGGCCUCUUGACUGCUAACCACUUAAACUAGCAACAGCCACUAUUGAGGGACAAAUGGGGGCUGAAACAUCAAAAAUGUGUCCCAAAAGCAGACGACAUGCCUUAUUAGCAAGCUCGCAAUCCAAGCAGCAGCGAGAAAGCCUAACAAAAGGACUCACUCAAGUGAAUCCGUUUCCUAUUGGUGAACAUUGCUGCCAGUGCGGUAGGAACAUUGACUCUUUUAUCUUCCUCAUCUCAACCAAGCUUUGGAUUUCCUCAUCUGGAUUCCACUUCAACAUUUGAUUGGAAGUCACCCUGCGGGCCUGGUGAGCUCAAUGCCCGGCGAGCGAAGCGUCCGUGGCGGAGGCGAGGCAGGAGGGGCGGCCUGCGUGCUAGGCUAAAAGCUGGAGCGACUGGGCCACCGCUACCGGGCCUGUUGCUGGCCAGCUUUGCCGCUUGCCGUGGAGAUUGGACUUCAGCGUCUUGUGGACACAGAGCUUCAGGAUUGUUCUCCCCGAAUCUUACCAGCAUGUAGGCUUUCCCAUGAGGGCAAAUAGCAUCCUGUACCAAGUCUACAGCAACAUGAAAGGUGCUUUGAAGGCUGUUCCAAGACCCCAUUUUGGAAAAGCUAAUGUCUCUUCUGUUGUUGUUGCUUAAUUUAUUGGUAUAUAUGUUUGUUAUGUUCCUAUUCAUUUUCUUGUGUUUUUCUUUUUCUUUUUUUGGAAGAAUGAACACAGCAAGAAUUUCAUUGCAUAGCAGAACUACCAAGUUUUACUGUGCAUAUGACAAUAAAACUCUUGAAAACU